GGUAUACUGGAGAUGACUUGCGCAGAAAACACAUAAACUGAGAGCUCGAGUGGAGGAGUUAUGAGACGAUGAUCAAACUCAACAUUCAGCUUCAGUUUCUGAUAAAACUUCACAUUCUGACUGUUUGUGAGUCUACAGAUUAGAAUAAAGCACUUAUAUUACACUUGAAA